AGUAGCCACGGGAAAACGAAGGGGGCUAGCGUUGUUCGGAAUUACUGGGCGUAAAGGGCGCGUAGGCGGCCAUUCAAGUUAGAUGUGAAAGCCCUGGGCUUAACCUAGGAAUUGCAUUUGAUACUGUUUGGCUUGAGUUCGGGAGAGGUAAGUGGAAUUCCGAGUGUAGAGGUGAAAUUCGUAGAUAUUGGGAAGAACACCGGUGGCGAAGGCGGCAACCUGGUCCAUAACUGACGCUGAGGCGCGAAAGCGUGGGGAGCAAACAGGAUUAGAUACCCCGGUAGUCCCUGUCUCUUAUACA
rnacentral:rRNA from 1 species